AUGGUGUUGGUGGAAGACGAUGGGACAAGAAGGAAGACAGCGUGCGUCACCGGAGGGAAUGGGUACAUAGCCUCGGCGCUCAUCAAGAUGCUGCUGGAGAAGGGAUACGCCGUGAAGACGACGGUCAGAAAACCCAAUGACAUGGCCAAGAACUCGCAUCUCAAGGAUUUGCAAGCUCUCGGUCCCUUGCAGGUCUUCUGUGCGGACCUGGAGGAAGAAGGCAGCUUUGACGACGCCAUUGCCGGCUGCAACUAUGCCUUCCUCGUCGCCGCUCCGUCGAACCUCGACCCGCAGAACCCCGAGAAAGACUUGAUCGAGCCAGCCGUCCAAGGAACCCUCAACGUGAUGAGGUCGUGUCACAGAGCAGGGACGGUAAAACGCGUGGUCCUAACAUCGUCGGCGGCGGCGGUCACAGCCCGGCCGGUUGAAGGCGAUGGUAAUGUCCUGGACGAGGAAUCCUGGUCUGACGUCGGGUUCCUCAGAUCCACAAAAAUGGCUCAUUGGGCCUACUCGGUUUCAAAGGUGCUGGUAGAGAAGGCGGCGUGCGCGUUCGCGCAGGAGCACGGCAUCAGCCUGGUCACCGUGUGUCCUGUUCUUACGGUGGGGGUGGCGCCGGCGCCAGGUGUCAACACAAGCGUCGCCGUCUUACUCUCCCUACUAUCCGGCGAUGACGCGAUGGCCAGCAUUCUGGGGCACAUCGAGAUGUCGUCCGGUUCGAUCUCAGUGGUCCACGUGGACGACCUAUGCCGUACCGAGAUACUCCUUGCCGAGAAGGAGACGGCGUCAGGGCGGUAUAUCUGCUGCAGCCUCAACACCACCGCCGUGGCGCUCGCCCGCUUCCUGGCGCUCAAGUACCCACAGUACAAUGUCAAGACCGACCGUUUUGGUGGUCUCCCCGAGAAACCCAAAGUCUGCAUUUCCUCGGCCAAGCUCGUCGGAGAAGGCUUCCGGUUCAAGCAAGAUACACUGGACAAGAUAUACGAUGGUGCCGUCCAGUACGGAAGGGCCUUAGGGAUCCUUCCAUACUAA
rnacentral:rRNA from 1 species